rnacentral:rRNA from 1 species
GAUGAACGCUAGCGGCAGGCUUAAUACAUGCAAGUCGAGGGGGAUUAGUUUUGUAGCAAUACGAGACUAUGAGACCGGCAAACGGGUGAGGAACACGUACACAACCUUCCUUUAAGUGGGGCAUAGCCCAGGGAAACUUGGAUUAAUACCCCGUAACAUUAUGAAGUGGCAUCACUUUAUAAUUAUAGCUCCGGCGCUUAAUGAUGGGUGUGCGUCUGAUUAGGUAGUUGGCGGAGUAACAGCCCACCAAGCCUACGAUCAGUAACUGGUGUGAGAGCACGACCAGUCACACGGGCACUGAGACACGGGCCCGACUCCUACGGGAGGCAGCAGUAAGGAAUAUUGGGCAAUGGACGCAAGUCUGACCCAGCCAUGCCGCGUGGAGGAUGAAGGUCCUCUGGAUUGUAAACUUCUUUUAUUUGGGAAGAAAUUCUCGCAUUCCUGCGGGAUUGACGGUACCAGAUGAAUAAGCACCGGCUAACUCCGUGCCAGCAGCCGACGG